rnacentral:lncRNA from 1 species
AUGGUGCUCCUUUUCUCCUUUGGUAGUCAUCAGCCCCUCCUUACUCCAUCUCCAAGGGAAAGCAGAGGAAGAAAAGUCACAGAGCCCCUCCGUCCAUGUCGGAGAGCUGGGACAAGGAGCCGAGGGCAGGAGCUGUUCCCUUUGCGGCCCAGACCCCAGGGGCCAUGUCGAUGCUUUUAUUGCACAUGCCAUGCCUUGUCUACCCUGUCCCCCAGCACAGGGAUGGGGCGGGAUGGAGACAGGAUGGGGCGGGAGGAGAGCCACCGCAUUGCUCACCGCCCUCCCCAGGUGCUCUGCUGGGGUUUGCCAGGACAAGACAAAAGCACGCCCACCUCGACGGGUGCUUCACUGCAGACUGGGGAGAGGACCCGGGUUAUUAACGCAAGUACUCAAGGGGAGAGAGGAGGAAAAAAGGAACCCGAACCAAAACCACACCAUACUUGUUUAUGGGAAUGGUUUACACUGACCACAGGAAAUACUGCACAUGUCCAGGCAACCCUCCUGGCCAACCUCCUCAGAGCCAUUACCUCGGCGCAGGCAGGCAGAGCUUGGGCAGGAGCUGCUGGGGUCAGAGCCCGGCCCGCAGCCGAGGAGGCAGUGCCAUGUCUAUCCUCGAGGACACCCGGGGCAGUGCUGGGUGCACGGACAGGAAGGGGGAUGCACAGAUACACCUGGGCACAGAGCAUUCCCUUUUCUCCUCCUCUCUCUGAAAAAAGCAGUACCAGAGCUUUCAGAGGUCACCUCUGUGUGCAACAACAUUUAUCAGGACUUCUGCUUGGAGAGGCUCCUACCUGCUCCAAGUGCCACUGUUUCAGAGCACAACAGCAUGGUUCACGUCCCUCUGCGGGAGCAGCCCUGCAUGCAGGCCCGGUGUGGUCCCAAGCUCCCCGCCAGCCAGCCCGGCUGCCGCCGUCAGCCACGCAGCCCCAACCAGCGCCGCCGCCGUGCCGAGCCAGCAGACCCGGGCGCUCUGACUCACGGCGCGGAGCCGUCCCCGGCCCGCAGAGAAAGUCGGAGGCGAGAGCUGCGGCCGGCGAUGGGGGAGCAGAGGCCAAGCUCCCCAGGCAAAUGUCCCGUCUUGGAGCAGCACGAGCUGAUUGUGCAAUAACACCCCUGUGUGAGCGGGGCUUUGAAAUGCAAAGGCAGAAAGAUCUGUUACGUUCAUGUAGUGCUGUUGUGGUCUAA